rnacentral:rRNA from 1 species
GACAGAGGAUGCAAGCGUUAUCCGGAAUGAUUGGGCGUAAAGCGUCUGUAGGUGGCUUUUUAAGUCCGCCGUCAAAUCCCAGGGCUCAACCCUGGACAGGCGGUGGAAACUACCAAGCUGGAGUACGGUAGGGGCAGGAGGGAAUUUCCGGUGGAGCGGUGAAAUGCGCAGAUAUCGGGAAGAACACCCGUGGCGAAGGCGGCUCUCUGGACGGUACUGACGCUGAGACGCGAAAGCGUGGGGAGCGAACAGG